GAGGAAACGGUAACUACUCUUUUAAGGGCAAGGAGCAAAUGAAUAAGCACUUUGUCAUAACUGCAGCGGUUUGCUAUCCUGUGGUGGAUUUGGGAAUAUAUUUGCUACAUUUCAUUGGAAAGUAGUAUGUUCGUCCAGCCUUCGUCCAGGUUCUGUCAGUUAGCUAAUAACCAAGACACUACGGUAAGUCAUAAUGUUAGCCCCUCUGGGAUUCAUUUGGUUGCUAUUUCGCAUAGCUUAUAACGGCUGGUUGGCUGUCAGUGGUUGGGCAGAUUCUUUUAGGUAGAGGGCUAAGUGUGUCUACUCAACGAUAAAUUGAGGUUCAGUACACAGUGAGGCGAUAUACUUUCUAUACGGGCUGUGAUACUACUAGCCUAAUGCAGGACGCAACUGACACAAAUCUGAGAAAUUAGCUAACUAUAUCUAGCCGCUACCUGGCUCCACUCGACCUAGAAUUCAGUUCAUAACGACAGCAUUUUCGUUUGGGGUCCGCAAGCUGGCAUCUGGAGACUGUCUUCGGUUUCCACAAGUGUCAUGUUAGUUCUACAUACUGUAGGGGAGUCGACGGGCUUUCUUCUUUUUCUGUGUCAACUAGAACUAGUUUUAUGAGAGCAAGUGCUUGUGUUGUGUGACUUCUCCUGACUCCUGCGAUGUUCUUCCGAGCUCAGCUCACUGCGACUUGCACCUUUCACAAGUCCGAACUCUGAUAAAGGCAGAGGGAGGGAUAGCUCGCGCAUGAAAUAUUACCGGUAUGUUAGGUGUGGUAAGUCGCAUCGUGUGUUCGGGCAGCUUGCCUGUGCAAGAAAAUGUUGUCGCGACAAUUGUUUAUUGUUUGUGUGUCAACUGGCGUUUCUUAUCUCGUAUGUGCUUUGCUUGCUUGGUUAGAGUCGUAGCUCUACCACAGAUUCUGUAAGAGACUUAUAAGGGCUGUGGCUCUACUACGUAGCUGUUUGAUAAAUGCGGAUGAAGGCUACGCGUGGAAAACGUGUUUACAUUCACCAGUCGUUGUGUUCCAAAAUUACGGAGGGAAUAGUUAUCCAAUUUCUUUCAUUCACGAGCAGGGAUGUGUUGCUUUGUUGACGCUACAGGGAAGUUUCCUGGUUUAAAGAAAGUUGUGGCUAUAGGCAACAGCUACUUCAACAAGCUUUGCAUGAAAUCGUGCGUGUGUAACUUAGUUCUAGUGUGAGUGUGUGAUAUUGUACUCUGCAGUAUUUACGAAGAGACUGGUUGGUUUAUAGUUUUGUUUAUGUAAAUGAAAAAUGUAAAGUUGUGUGUAGUAGUGAGACAAAAGCCUUUCAUACAUUUAUUUAAGGUUGUCUGUUGUCUGUUUGAAGGUGUGUCUGCAAAGCUCUGAAACGUUUUGUCAUUUUUGUCUCUUCUGCUCUGGAUAAGGUGGACUUCUCUCCUCUGACCUGUUACCAAGACAGCUGGGUGUGUAGGAAACUGGAACUAAGUCACUGAAGAAGUAAACCGAUGAAAACCGAUUUGGAUUGUCUGAGAGAUCUGUAGGACACAAGUAAGAGGAGAAGAAUGCUGCUCAGCUGGGUCGGCGUCGGCCACACUACUUAUUCAAGAAGCCCUUGGAUAUCAUCGGCAUGUAUGAAGCACAGUCAUUCCGGUAGUCCGUUCCUCGAUGGAAGUGAUGACCUGGCACCAAAACCGCUUAAAGUGUAUGGAGCUGUGUCUGCAUCGAGGAAAGAACGCGGCACUGAAAUGACAAGAGGACUACUGCUCUACUGGGUCUGUGACACUACUUAUCCGAGGAGUCCUCAAACAUCAGGAUGUAGGAAGACACAAGUAAAAGGAGAAGAAUGCUGUUCAGCUGGGUCGGCGGCCACACUACUUAUUCAAGAAGCUCUUGGAUAUCAUCGGCAUGUAUGAAGUCCACUGAUGCCAAGCUGCUAAGGACCCCCACCCCCC